GUUGACCUCGGAUCAGGUAGGGAUACCCGCUGAACUUAAGCAUAUCAAAAA
rnacentral:rRNA from 1 species